rnacentral:ncRNA from 1 species
GUAAAGGCGAGGAAAGGGAGAGUACAGGUUGUUCGUCCGUCUUCAGAGAGGGCUGAACAGGUGGAAGCAGCCUGGCGGGACAAUCUGGAAGUGCACCCUGGAGCUGUCGGCCUGAAACCAAAGUAGGGCCGAACGGAAAGCCGUUAUCCGGGAAUGAGGGAACCGGUGCCUGUCCGAUCCCGGAGGGGCCGGUUAAGCAGAGUGGAACCGCGGGAAAAACGUCUCUGAC